CCCUUAUUACCGCCUGGUCCAUUAGACCCAGGCUUGCUAGGCCCAGGAUAACCAGGAGGCCCAGGUGGGCCAGGUGGUCCCGUUGGUCCCUUAUUUCCACCCGGUCCUGCAGUACCUGGUUGCUCACCGGGGCUUUCACCCGGACCUUUAUUACCGCCGGGUCCUUCAGAUCCAGGUGUGCUAGGCCCUGGAGCACCAGGAGGCCCAGGAGGUCCUGUUGGUUCCUUAUUUUCACCCGGUCCUGAAGUACCCGGUUGCUUUCCGGGGCUUUCACCCGGACCCUUAUUACCGCCUGGUCCUUUAGAACCAGGGGUGCUAGGGCCAGGAGCACCAGGAGGUCCUGUUGGUCCUUUAUGACCACCGGGCCCUGAAGUGCCUGGUUGUUUACCAGGGCUUCCACCAGGAGCUUUACUACCUCCUGGUCCUUUAGAUCC